GAUGCUGGUGGUUGGCUGGAGAGGACUACUGUUGAGGACAUGGACAUUGCCGUUCGAGCUCAUCUUCAUGGAUGGAAAUUCAUUUUCCUCAAUGAUGUUGGAGAGGGCGGAGGCGAGCUGUAUAUGUGAUUUUGACAAUAAGAGGCCAAGCUUGCAGCUAUGCAAGAAAGAUUUGGACGAGAGAUCCACGUUUUUGAAACAUUAGCUUUGGCUUCAUCAUCAAAUGCUCCAUUAUCCAAUGGAGAGGAGACCGAUGACUUCUAUGACCUUACUAAUAUUUUUAGUUACAUGGAAAGUUUGUAGUUCAUGUCAGUGGGAUUUUUUUUAGGAAUUGGAAGGUCUUUAACUUCCUUGUAUGUAUUGUGACAAGUUUUUAAGAAGAAAAAUUUACUUAAUGGAUUCUGCUAGUCAAACAUUAUUUUAUUUUACUAAACAGUGUAUGUA